AGAAAAGCAGGGGAUCGCAAGACCUUGCGCUUUUGGAGCGGCCGAUGUCUGAUUAGCUAGUUGGUGAGGUAAAGGCUUACCAAGGCUUCGAUCAGUAGCUGGUCUGAGAGGACGACCAGCCACACUGGGACUGAGACACGGCCCAGACUCCUACGGGAGGCAGCAGUGGGGAAUUUUGGACAAUGGGGGAAACCCUGAUCCAGCCAUGCCGCGUGAGUGAAGAAGGCCUUCGGGUUGUAAAGCUCUUUCAGCCGGAACGAAAAGGUUACGGUUAAUACCCGUGACUAAUGACGGUACCGGAAGAGGAAGCACCGGCUAACUACGUGCCAGCAGCCGCGGUAAUACGUAGGGUGCGAGCGUUAAUCGGAAUUACUGGGCGUAAAGCGUGCGCAGGCGGUUUUGUAAGUCAGAUGUGAAAUCCCCGGGCUCAACCUGGGAACUGCGUUUGAAACUACAAAGCU
rnacentral:rRNA from 1 species